rnacentral:tRNA from 4 species
GCGGAUGUGGUGUAAGGGUAACACUGGAGUAUGCCAAGCUUCAGAUACGAGUUCAAAUCUCGUCUUCCGCUC